CGUAAUUCCAAAACAAAUAAAGGCAUACACUGGUGCAAAUGGAGUGAUAUGUGUAUCCCCAAAGCGAAGGGAAGGUUAGGUUUUAAAGACUUCGAAAAUUUUAAUUUGGCCUUAUUAGUGAAGUAGGGGUGAAAAAUUAUUACGCAGCCUCAUUGUUUAUUUGCGCAUGUCAUGAAAGCAAAAUAUUUUCCAAAAGGGGAAUUUAUGAGUACUAGGUUAGUCUCUUACCUUUCGUUUACCUGGCGUAGCAUUUGGGGUGCUAAACAACUUCUUGAGAAGGGAAUUGGUUGGCGAGUUGGGAACAAUGAUGCAAUUAAUAUAUGGAACGAUGUGUGGUUACCGAGGCCUAGAAGUGGAAGAAUACAAUGUCAGAACAUAGAUAUUAGAUAUACUAUUGUUUCUGGCUUAAUUGAUAGGAAACUUCUACCUAGAAGCAAAACACUAUCCGAUCAUUAUUUGGAGAGGCGCAGCUGAAAAGUAUUCUUUCAAUCCCAUUGGUGAGUAGCAGACCGCACGAUAAACUAAUAUGGAGAGGUGACAAUACAGGGAUUUACAUAGUGAAAAGUGGCUACAAAUGGGCUAAUACACCGGGGAAUCCUAGGUUACAUAAUGAAAUUAAUUCUACUUUCUUUACAAAGCUAAGGGGUCUCAAGAUACCGAGCAAAAUCCGUAUACUCAUGUGGAGAACAGCAAAUGAGUUCAUGCCCACUUUGCACAACCUAAGAACCCGUAAACUGGUUGCAAAUACACUUUGUCCGGUGUGUCAAGCCGACAAGGAAACUGUGAGCCAUCAUUUUAGAGAUUGCACUAUCACACAGCAGAUAUUGCAAGGGAUGGGAGCGGCAAAUACAAUAUGCAAUAGAGAAACCAGAUGGAAAAAUUGGUUAGAAAAUGAGCUCAAUAGACAGAAUACAGAAAUAUGCAAAAUUAGAUCUAUCGUAUACUAGGCUAUCUGGUACAAUUGCAAUGAGAUUUAUCAUGAAGGAACAAGAGAACAAGUAAGUGAAAUAGUGGGGUUUAUCAACGCUUAUCAUGUAGAAAUAGCUUUUAUGGGAGAGUUUUCAAAAAAUGCGAAUGGCGUCAAUGAAUCUGUUUGGAAACCAUCGGAUGACGACAUUAUAAAAAUCAACUUUGAUGCAUCUUUUAAUCAACACACGAAGUGUUCAAUAUUGGGAAUUUUAGCGAGGAAUAAAAAAGGGUUAGUGAUGGCUGCCUGUACCUUCUCAUGGGAGAAUAUUCCAGAUCUUGUUACGGCUGAAGCAAGGGCGUGUCUACAAGCACUCACUAUGGCGGAGGAAAUGGGUUUCCAAGACAUUUGUGUGGAAUGAGAUGCAUUGUCCAUAAUACAAAAACUAAACUCCUCUGAGGAAGAUAAAUCAAACAAGUAGUCUAAUUAAAGAAAUAAAGGGGAGAACCCCCAAAUUUAGAAGGUUGAGCUUUAAGCACGUACCUAAGGAAGCCAACAAAGCGAGUCACAAGAUGGCGAUAGAAGGAAGAAAAUAUGAAGAUCCCCAAUACUAGAUAGAAGAGGUUCUGUACGCGGUGGAAGGACUGGUAAUUCAUGAUAGAAGAAGCUACAACGACGGUGGUUAAAUGGAAAAAUAGAGUCCGGACUUUGUGACUUUGAGUCUGUCCGAUGAACUCGUUACCUUAUUAGAGACUGAGGUUUAGAAAAGUAUGAUUUUUUUGGAGAAGAUUCAGUCUCUCAAAUGGCUGAUUUUUUUGGAGAAGAUUCAGUCUCUCAAAUGGCUGAUACAUGAUAAUCUUUUCGAAUGACAGAGAAGAAGGAAAGGUUUCAGGCCAGAAAUUCUUAUUUUUAGUCGAUUCAUUUCUUCAUUCGUUUUAUUAGGUUAUGUUGUUUUUUAGUUUCUUUAUGUGAGUUUCUUUAAUGCACCGUUUUGGUGCCCAAUAAUUA
rnacentral:lncRNA from 1 species